CCUACGGGUGGCAGCAGUGGGGAAUAUUGGACAAUGGGCGAAAGCCUGAUCCAGCCAUGCAGCGUGUGUGAAGAAGGCCUUCGGGUUGUAAAGCACUUUCAGUGGGGAAGAAAGCCUUGGGGCUAAUACCCUCGAGGAAGGACAUCACCCACAGAAGAAGCACCGGCUAACUCCGUGCCAGCAGCCGCGGUAAUACGGAGGGUGCGAGCGUUAAUCGGAAUUACUGGGCGUAAAGCGCGCGUAGGCGGUCUGAUAAGCCGGUUGUGAAAGCCCCGGGCUCAACCUGGGAACGGCAUCCGGAACUGUCAGGCUAGAGUGCAGGAGAGGAAGGUAGAAUUCCCGGUGUAGCGGUGAAAUGCGUAGAGAUCGGGAGGAAUACCAGUGGCGAAGGCGGCCUUCUGGACUGACACUGACGCUGAGGUGCGAAAGCGUGGGUAGCAAACAGGAUUAGAUACCCUAGUAGUC
rnacentral:rRNA from 1 species